GACGAACGCUGGCGGCGUGCCUAAUACAUGCAAGUAGAACGCUGAAGAGAGGAGCUUGCUCUUCUUGGAUGAGUUGCGAACGGGUGAGUAACGCGUAGGUAACCUGCCUUGUAGCGGGGGAUAACUAUUGGAAACGAUAGCUAAUACCGCAUAACAAUGGAUGACACAUGUCAUUUAUUUGAAAGGGGCAAUUGCUCCACUACAAGAUGGACCUGCGUUGUAUUAGCUAGUAGGUGAGGUAAUGGCUCACCUAGGCGACGAUACAUAGCCGACCUGAGAGGGUGAUCGGCCACACUGGGACUGAGACACGGCCCAGACUCCUACGGGAGGCAGCAGUAGGGAAUCUUCGGCAAUGGGGGCAACCCUGAUCGAGCAACGCCGCGUGAGUGAAGAAGGUUUUCGGAUCGUAAAGCUCUGUUGUAAGUCAAGAACGGGUGUGAGAGUGGAAAGUUCACACUGUGACGGUAGCUUACCAGAAAGGGACGGCUAACUACGUG
rnacentral:rRNA from 1 species